rfam:Solanum tuberosum cultivar DM 1-3 516 R44 scf00024_155, whole genome shotgun sequence.
GUGCUCUUAAAAAGGAGAGCUAGUUUGCAUCUCCCUCUACAAGGAUGGAAUCAACCUUCAUGGGAGUGGACUAGCUAGCUGGGCGGCCUAGAUUGAUUAUCACUCUUGCUAGCUGGGCUUGAAGUUAACUGGAUUAC